rnacentral:rRNA from 1 species
GACGAACGCUGGCGGCGUGCCUAAUACAUGCAAGUAGAACGCUGAAGGAGGAGCUUGCUCUUCUGGAUGAGUUGCGAACGGGUGAGUAACGCGUAGGUAACCUGCCUGGUAGCGGGGGAUAACUAUUGGAAACGAUAGCUAAUACCGCAUAACAGUAGAUGUUGCAUGACAUUUACUUAAAAGGUGCAAUUGCAUCACUACCAGAUGGACCUGCGUUGUAUUAGCUAGUUGGUGGGGUAACGGCUCACCAAGGCGACGAUACAUAGCCGACCUGAGAGGGGGAUCCGCCACACUGGGACUGAGACACGGCCCAGACUCCUACGAGAGGCAGCAGUAGGGAAUCUUCGGCAAUGGACGGAAGUCUGACCGAGCAACGCCGCGUGAGUGAAGAAGGUUUUCGGAUCGUAAAGCUCUGUUGUAAGAGAAGAACGAGUGUGAGAGUGGAAAGUUCACACUGUGACGGUAUCUUACCAGAAAGGGACGGCUAACUACGUG